rnacentral:rRNA from 1 species
UGAGUAAUGUCUGGGAAACUGCCCGAUGGAGGGGGAUAACUACUGGAAACGGUAGCUAAUACCGCAUAACGUCUUCGGACCAAAGUGGGGGACCUUCGGGCCUCACACCAUCGGAUGUGCCCAGAUGGGAUUAGCUAGUAGGUGGGGUAAUGGCUCACCUAGGCGACGAUCCCUAGCUGGUCUGAGAGGAUGACCAGCCACACUGGAACUGAGACACGGUCCAGACUCCUACGGGAGGCAGCAGUGGGGAAUAUUGCACAAUGGGCGCAAGCCUGAUGCAGCCAUGCCGCGUGUAUGAAGAAGGCCUUCGGGUUGUAAAGUACUUUCAGCGGGGAGGAAGGCGGUGAGGUUAAUAACCUUACCGAUUGACGUUACCCGCAGAAGAAGCACCGGCUAACUCCGUGCCAGCAGCCGCGGUAAUACGGAGGGUGCAAGCGUUAAUCGGAAUUACUGGGCGUAAAGCGCACGCAGGCGGUCUGUCAAGUCGGAUGUGAAAUCCCCGGG